UGAAAAUGCCAUCAAACUCCCGAUUCAAGUGUCAUUUUGGUUGUAAAAACGAUGAUAUUCAAGACAAAGGAGACAUUUACAUUUAUAACCAAAUUCGAAUAUGAUAUCGCCACUUUGAGGAAUGUUAUUGUUCACAAAGCCACAGACUCACAGCUAAUGCAGUUCCAACGCUAAAUAUUGGUUCAUCUCAGCUGCAACCCAUGGAAACUGAUGCUAUUGAACAUGUGCUUAAUGUAAUGCAGCCAUCAACUGCCCUAACAACAAAGGAUGAUCAGGGUGAAGGUACUUGCAAACAACAGUAAAUUGGUUUUUCAGAAUUAUUCUUAGAUUUUUAUUUAAUAUUCCAACAUUAAGUACAUCAUCUCUGAACCAAAUUACAACCUGAUCCUUAAAUGA